rnacentral:rRNA from 1 species
ACGGGUGAGUAACGCGUGGGUAACCUACCCUGUACACACGGAUAACAUACCGAAAGGUAUGCUAAUACGGGAUAAUAUAUUUGAGAGGCAUCUCUUAAAUAUCAAAGGUGAGCCAGUACAGGAUGGACCCGCGUCUGAUUAGCUAGUUGGUAAGGUAACGGCUUACCAAGGCGACGAUCAGUAGCCGACCUGAGAGGGUGAUCGGCCACAUUGGAACUGAGACACGGUCCAAACUCCUACGGGAGGCAGCAGUGGGGAAUAUUGCACAAUGGGCGAAAGCCUGAUGCAGCAACGCCGCGUGAGUGAUGAAGGCCUUCGGGUCGUAAAACUCUGUCCUCAAGGAAGAUAAUGACGGUACUUGAGGAGGAAGCCCCGGCUAACUACGUGCCAGCAGCCGCGGUAAUACGUAGGGGGCUAGCGUUAUCCGGAUUUACUGGGCGUAAAGGGUGCGUAGGCGGUCUUUCAAGUCAGGAGUGAAAGGCUACGGCUCAACCGUAGUAAGCUCUUGAAACUGGGAGACUUGAGUGCAGGAGAGGAGAGUGGAAUUCCUAGUGUAGCGGUGAAAUGCGUAGAUAUUAGGAGGAACACCAGUUGCGAAGGCGGCUCUCUGGACUGUAACUGACGCUGAGGCACGAAAGCGUGGGGAGCAAACAGGAUUAGAUACCCUGGUAGUCCACGCUGUAAACGAUGAGUAGUAGGUGUCGGGGGUUACCCCCUUCGGUGCCGCAGCUAACG